AGAGUUUGAUCCUGGCUCAGAACGAACGCUGGCGGCGGGCCUAACACAUGCAAGUCGCACGAGAAAGCCCCUGCUUGCAGGGGCGAGUAAAGUGGCGCACGGGUGAGUAACGCGUGGUUAAUCUACCCUUGGGUUUGGGAUAACGUUCCGAAAGGGGCGCUAAUACCGGAUAAGACCACGGUGUCCACGGGCACUGGGGUAAAAGUGGGCCUCUACAUGUAAGCUCAUGCCUGAGGAUGAGACCGCGUCCCAUUAGCUUGUUGGUGAGGUAAUGGCUCACCAAGGCCGCGAUGGGUAGCUGAUCUGAGAGGACGAUCAGCCACACUGGGACUGGAACACGGCCCAGACUCCUACGGGAGGCAGCAGUGAGGAAUCUUGCGCAAUGGGGGAAACCCUGACGCAGCCACGCCGCGUGGGUGAAGAAGGCCUUCGGGUUGUAAAGCCCUGUCAGGUGGGAAGAACCGCAGUCUGGCCAAUACCUGGACUGCUUGACGGUACCACCAAAGGAAGCACCGGCUAACUCCGUGCCAGCAGCCGCGGUAAUACGGAGGGUGCAAGCGUUGUUCGGAAUUACUGGGCGUAAAGCGCGUGUAGGCGGACUGGUAAGCCUGGCGUGAAAGGCCACAGCUCAACUGUGGAAUUGCGUUGGGAACUGCUGGGCUUGAGUUAUGGAGAGGGAGCUAGAAUUCCUGGUGUAGGGGUGAAAUCCGUAGAUAUCAGGAAGAAUACCGAUGGCGAAGGCAAGCUCCUGCCGAUGACUGACGCUGAGGUGCGAAAGUGUGGGGAUCAAACAGGAUAGAUACCCUGUAGUCCACACUGUAACGAUGUGCACUAGUGCUGGGGCGGUAGCUUCAGUGCGGAGCGACGUGUAGUGCACCCGCUGGGGAGUACGACCGCAGUAACUCAAUGAAUUGACCGGGUCGCCAACGGUGGAACACAUGGUGUGAUAAUAUCUCUCGGAAC
rnacentral:rRNA from 1 species